rnacentral:rRNA from 1 species
AUUGAACGCUGGCGGCAGGCUUAACACAUGCAAGUCGAGCGGGGGAAGGUAGCUUGCUACCGGACCUAGCGACGGACGGGUGAGUAAUGCUUAGGAAUCUGCCUAUUAGUGGGGGACAACAUCUCGAAAGGGAUGCUAAUACCGCAUACGUCCUACGGGAGAAAGCAGGUGAUCUUCGGACCUUGCGCUAAUAGAUGAGCCUAAGGCGGAUUAGCUAGUUGGUGGGGUAAAGGCCUACCAAGGCGACGAUCUGUAGCGGGUCUGAGAGGAUGAUCCGCCACACUGGGCCGGGAAGACGGCCCAGACUCCUACGGGAGGCAGCAGUGGGGAAUAUUGGACAAUGGGGGGAACCCUGAUCCAGCCAUGCCGCGUGUGUGAAGAAGGCCUUAUGGUUGUAAAGCACUUUAAGCGAGGAGGAGGCUACUCUAGUUAAUACCUAGGGAUAGUGGACGUUACUCGCAGAAUAAGCACCGGCUAACUCUGUGCCAGCAGCCGCAGUAA